rnacentral:rRNA from 1 species
UACGUAGGGGGCUAGCGUUGCUCGGAAUCACUGGGCGUAAAGGGUGCGUAGGCGGGGCUUUAAGUCAGGGGUGAAAUCCUGGAGCUCAACUCCAGAACUGCCUUUGAUACUGAGGACCUUGAGUACGGGAGAGGUGAGUGGAACUGCGAGUGUAGAGGUGAAAUUCGUAGAUAUUCGCAAGAACACCAGUGGCGAAGGCGGCUCACUGGCCCGUAACUGACGCUGAGGCACGAAAGCGUGGGGAGCAAACAGG